rnacentral:rRNA from 1 species
UCUGGUGGCGAUACCGGAGGGGGUACACCUGUUCCCAUCCCGAACACAGCAGUUAAGCCCUCCAGGGCCGAUGGUACUUGGGGCUCACGCCCCUGGGAGAGUAGGUCGCUGCCAGAAU